AUGAUAAUGGGUUAGGUAAAUGUUUCAUGAUAAGAAUUUCAUGUCUUUUGUAUUAAAGAAUUAAAUGGAUGAACUAUGAAGUUUUAUUAAAAGAAAAAGGGGUGAAAAGAACAAAGUUUUGUCCAUCUUUGUUCAUCAUAGCUGAAAGUUAGAGAAGAGAAAGGAGAGGAGAAAGCUCUUGAGUAUUCGGUCAUUAGGAGGAGGAAAAUUGAAGGCGGUUCGUGUGUGGAUCUCACAAGAUAUCGUCAUAAGCAGUGUGUAACUAACACCCUCUUUCUUAGUCUAGAUCGGCAAAAGCCGAAAAGCCGAAAUGCCAAAAACCGGUAUUUUGUAGAUUUGCGAGUGUGCGAAUGCUCGUGAGGUAAAUCGAUUAAUGUAUUUGGUAAGCUGCAAUGUUUGGACUGCAAACUACAUGAUUUCUGUGCCCUCGAUAUUUUUGGGCUUAAUGGGCCAAAAUUGGAAUGAUGGGCCAAUGGGCCCAAUUCGGUAAGAACCCUCGGUACGUGAUUCUAUUAGUACGUGAAAAGUAGGAAUAUGCAUGAAAAACCCUAAAAUAGAUAAAUUACUGAAAUACCUUUAAAAGUGGAAAAUUUACAAUUUUACCCCUAGUAGAUAAAUUACCGAAAUACCCCUAGGGUUAAAUUGACCUAAAUGCAUGUUUGACUGUUGUUAUUUACUGCAUGCCAUGUUGUUAUUAUCGAUGCAUGGGAUUGGGAUAUUAACGGAGGAAGUCUGAAAGUGGCUUGUCCACGAUUGGAGGCUUUGCCUCAACUUAUCGUUAAUCGAGUAGCAAGGUCAUGUCAGAACGCUUCAAUUUUCAUGAAUUCGUGAAUGUCGGCAUAGGUUUAAUUAUGUUAGUGGGCCUCUAGAAGGCCCAAGCUUAAGAUAGAACCCGCUAAUUUUAGUUAAUUUUUGUUCCAUAAGAAAAAGGGGGUGAAAUUAUGAAAUAGAACCUAUGUGAAAAUGUUUGAAAAUGCUAUAGGCUAAAUUGAAGUGGCCAAAUAAAUAGGAGUGCAAAAUAGGAGGAUUUGCAUGACAAACCUCCCAUUUUACAUGUAGUGGCUAGUCAUCAUGUUGUUGUAGACAAAAUGUACACUUGAUAUCCAUAAUUUAUGGUACAAAUUGAUACAAAUUGAUAAUAGGUUAGGUAAAUGUUUCAUGAUAAUAGGUUAGGUAAAUGUUCCAUGAUAAUAGGUUAGGUAAAUGUUCCAUGAUAAUGGGUUAGGUAAAUGUUUCAUGAUAAUGGGUUAGGUAAAUGUUUCAUGAUAAGAAUUUCAUGUCUUUUGUAUUAAAGAAUUAAAUGGAUGAAAUAUGAAGUUUUAUUAAAAGAAAAAGGGGUGAAAAGAACAAAGUUUUGUCUAUCUUUGCUCAUCAUAGUUGAAAGUUAGAGAAGAGAAAGGAGAGGAGAAAGCUCUUGAGUAUUUGGUCAUUAGGAGGAGGAAAAUUGAAGGCGGUUCGUGUGUGGAUCUUGUCAGCAUAUCGUCACAAACAGGUGUGUAACUAACACCCUCUUUCUUAGUCUAAAUCGGCAAAAGCCAAAAA